UACGUAGGGGGCAAGCGUUAUCCGGAUUUACUGGGUGUAAAGGGGGCGCAGACGGCGCGGCAAGUCCGGAGUGAAAUCCCAGGGCCCAACCCUGGGGCUGCUCUGGAAACUGCCGGGCUGGAGUGCUGGAGGGGCAGGCGGAAUUCCUAGUGUAGCGGUGAAAUGCGUAGAUAUUAGGAGAAACACCAGUGGCGAAGGCGGCUUACUGGACUGCAACUGACGUUGAGGCCCGAAAGCGUGGGGAGCAAACAGG
rnacentral:rRNA from 1 species